rnacentral:lncRNA from 1 species
GCUGCAUGCUUUUUGUUAUGUUUCACUCUGAGAGAGGUACUUACUGCAUUCUUUAUCCUGGCCGAUCGAUUUUUAAACCCUGGGGAUGAUGGAUUCAGCAAGUCGCUCGUAAAUGUCUCAUCAGUUUUGAAAGUUAAAUUCUUUCCUGUGACUGCCUCUGUUGUAGAAGCUGCAGUUGUUGGCGAACUCCCAGUUGUUGUAUUUGACGCACCUCCUGCUGCUGUUGUAGUUGUAGUUGUACUUGACGCACCUGCUGCUGUUGUUGUCGUGGUUGUAGUUGUAUUUGACACACCUGCUGCUGUUGUUGUCGUGGUUGUAGUUGUAUUUGACACACCUGCUGCAGCUGUUGUAGUUGUACUUGACGCACCUGCUGUUGUUGUCGUGGUUGUAGUUGUAUUUGACGCACCUGCUGUUGUUGUUGUAGUUGUAUUUGACGCACCUGCUGCUGUUGUUGCUGUUGUUGUAUUUGACGCACCUCCUGCUGCUGUUGUUGUUGUAGUUGUAUUUGACGCACCUCCUGCUGCUGUUGUUGUUGUAGUUGUAUUUGACGCUCCUCCUGCUGUUGUUGCUGUUGUUGUAUUUGACGCACCUCCUGCUGCUGUUGUUGCUGUUGUUGUUGUUGUAGUUGUAUUUGACGCACCUCCUGCUGCUGUUGUUGCUGUUGUUGUUGUUGUAGUUGUAUUUGACGCACCUCCUGCUGCUGUUGUUGCUGUUGUUGUUGUUGUAGUUGUAUUUGACGCACCUCCUGCUGCUGUUGUUGCUGUUGUUGUUGUUGUAGUUGUAUUUGACGCUCCUCCUGCUGUUGUUGCUGUUGUUGUAUUUGACGCACCUCCUGCUGCUGUUGUUGCUGUUGUUGUUGUUGUAGUUGUAUUUGACGCUCCUCCUGCUGCUGUUGUACUUGACGCACCUGCUGCUGUUGUUGCUGUUGUUGUAUUUGACGCACCUCCUGCUGCUGUUGUUGCUGUUGUUGUACUUGACACACCUGCAUCUGUUGUUGCUGUUGUUGUAGUUGUAUUUGACGCUCCUCCUGCUGUUGUUGCUGUUGUUGUACUUGACACACCUGCUUCUGUUGUUGUUGUUGUAGUUGUAUUUGACACACCUGCUUCUGUUGUUGCUGUAGUUGACGCGCUUGGUGUUGCUGCUGUUGUAUUUGACGCGCUUGUUGCUGGACUUUCAGUUGUACUCUGGGCUGUAGCUGGUACAAUAACUAGCUCUACGGCCACUAUUUGUAAAGAGCAGAAGGAGAUUGAUGCAUUAAUUUUCUUUAGAGAAGUGUAAACACCUUUGCUUUAAAUCAUAUGACUUACUUACCUGCAAGUAUUAGCAGAGUUGAUAGGAUGCGUCCAAAACCCAUUGUGGCAGUUCUUAAACCUACAAUAUUGACACUACAAUGACUUUCUCCGAAAUGUUAACAUCAAGUAACACAACAUUAACCAAUAUUGUCUGAAUUACAGACUAAACGCUCACUGCUCAGAGCCAGAUUUGAAGUCUUUCGCUCUAACUUGAAGUUUAAUUACAUACAGUACCAGUUGCCCUUGCUCAUUAAAUAACUAAUACAAUAAAAAUAUAGAAAUUAAAAAGAUGAUCAAUUUAAAUUGCAGUAGCACUUUUUGUUCUGCACAAAUCUGCGCUUUGCUGUCAGUGAGUCCUAGUUACAUUUAUUUUAUCAGCAGCAUCAAAUUAAAUAUUGUUCAAAAUUCUUUGUUGUCUUGGUGGAGAACAUUUUAUUAUGUUUUAUUAGGCAAGUAAUUAGACUUAUACCUGUGUAUUGAGUGAGGUAAAUUAAUUUGCCUUAAUUGGUUUAAAUGUUCUAAAGACCUUGCAAAAAAUAAUUAAAUAAAUAUAAAUUAAAUACAAUUAAAUAAUGCUCUUUAGAUAGUCAAACUUUCAGUGUAAAAAUAAAACCAAAUUAUAUCAUUAUAUUACAAUAUAUUGUAAUAUACCAAAUGUACUUACCCAAGUGCCCUUUAGACUUGUAGUAGUUAGUGGAGGCUCCUCACGUACCCUACCUCGGUGCUUGUCUGAUGCGAUGCCACCUGUUCGCUGAGCUCUUAUAUAAAUUGCUGCAUAGUGAAAGAAUGCGACCUGACAACAGUGAGUCAACCAGUGCAUAAGGAAACCAAGAAAAAAAAACAGUCCAAACAACCGCAGAUUCAUCAUCGAUUUUAAGUUUCUGUCACUGGAAAAAAGCACAGAAAGCUGGGGCUUCUUCUGAAGUAAACUAACCGGAUCUUGUUAGCUGUUACAAAACCAUGAAACACUUUUCUCCAAAACAUAACACUGACUUUUACUCAGACGAUUUAUGCAGAAUUAAGUUAUCAUAGAAACUAAUUAACUUUAUUGAAAUGGCAAUAAUUAGAAAAAAACUAAUAUAGUCAUAUUUUUACCAUAUUUUAUAAUCUUAUUAUGCAGCAGAAAUAUACAGUUGGUCAGAGUACAUUGGAGUAACUGUAUAUUUUCUGUUCUGUUGCUCUAUAAGCAUUUCUCUUAUAGCCAAUAAUGAUAUUGUGACUUUGUCUACACUACCACAAAUGCAGAAAAUAAAGGAAAUAAGCAUAAAUAGUAACAAGGCACAGUAUGUUGUGUCAUACUGUGUAUAGACAUAAAAUCUGUUUAUUACUGUAUUUAUAAAUAAAUAAUAUGGGAUAUGGGAGCUAUUUAUAGAGAAUCAUUUAGAACUACUACAAAUGGCUUUACAGCCAUAAAACACUUGCCUAUAAUUGAUAGUGCUAUUACUGAAGACCAAGUUGCUUUGAUAGUAACCCUCACCUCGCCUCUGCUGUUACAGCAGUUGUCUCUUAUCUUCCAUUUAAUUUUUUCUUUAUCUACAUAAUCUCUUCUUCUACUAAUCUUCUCAGCAGUAAGAAGCGAGAAGUGCACUAAAAUCUCCUGGUAGAUGGCUGCAUUUACUUUGAACUUGAUUAAAUGCAGUGGACCAACACCAGCAGAUAACAUGCCACCCCCACAUCAUCUGUAGAAAUGUCUCCCUGAACUUCAAGUUACUUUGAUUCUGUACCUCCACAUUUUCCUCACUCCAGACCUUGAUUUCAGGGUGAAAUUUACAGAAGUAGUUCUUAUUUUUUAGUCCAAAUAAAAAGCUUCUGACAUUUUCUCUGGUUCAGGAGCAUCUUCAUAGCAGAGAUGUGAUAGUUGUAGCACUUUUCCUGACUCCUGGUCUCACUCCACUCCUUGUGACACAUCCCUGUGGAUGAUGUUAAUGACAAUUGUCAACAUAGCAGUCUUCCUUAUGAUUGUGUAUUCUGUAAUGACCUUAAGAGAGAGACCUCUAGUACCUUUACUAUAAAAAUAGUAAUUUCUGAUGAAAAGAUUUAAACAUUUCUACACUAGAUUUGUGAUUUUCAUAAGCUUUAAGUCAUAAUACUUGAAAUUAAAACAAAAUAUUGUACUUUACAUGUAAUUAAUCUAGAAUACGAGUUUCCCUUUUUAAAUUCUGUUUUAAAAAAAAGGUACUUUUUCACAAUAUUCAGAUUAGCAUUUUACUAAUACACAUUCAUCCAUACAAAGAUACCAUUUAUAUGUACUACUAGGAUUCUGUUUUCAGACAUUUUUACUUUUCUUUUUUUAUCCAGUGUCCUAGCUUUUUCCAGUGCAGACCAUGAACUCCAGAGACAUGUGGGUGUGAGUAUAUAUAGAAACAGAAAAAUAUACACAAUGCAGACUUGGCGUCAUUCCUGUAGGACUUGUUUCUUACUAAAAAAAUAACAUUCAUCUCACUUUCGGAUCUGCUUUUCUCACAGUGUGUACUCUGUGUCAA